AGAGAGGAUGGUCAGUAUAUAGAAUGAGUUGCCAGAGCAAAUGGUUGGGGUAGGUAGAAAAGUAUAAUUUAGGGUAGUACCUACAUUAGGGAGGCAAAUACAUUCAUUAAGACAGCACAUUAGGGGUGGUACAUACGAUAGAUGGAGCACGUACCUCGGGGUGGCGCGUUAGGGAAGUACAUAACUUAAGAGUAACACACAGAGGGUCGGAGCUUUGAGAGAUGUGGGUAGAAGUAAGGAACGUGGGACUAGCUGGGCGAGCACCCACAGGAGGGGCCGAAGGGCCUGCGCCCGCACUGCGCUGCUCUCUUGGGUUCGGGACUCCCGCGCUGGAGCCGUGUUGACAGCGCCGCGGUGGGCGGGGCGGCCGGCGGGUCACGUGGUGCUCAGUGAUCACGUGCUCCCCCUCUCCAGCCGCGGGGCUCGGCUCUCGGGACGAUGGCGGUGCCGUCCAGCUGGCCGCCGUUGGCCGUCUGCCUGUGGCUGUGCGGAGCGGCGGCAGCGCAGCAACCGGCCGCGCCGCCCCAGCUGCUCAGCAUGCGGCCGGAGCGCACGUCAGCCCGCAGGGUUUACCUGGAGGGCGGGUUGCUGAAGGUGGCCGAGGGCACCCGCUUCAAGCUGCGGCUGUACGGCAGCGGCCUGAGGCGCAGCGGGUUGUUGGGCGACCGAGGCCGGGGCCGCGGCCUGGCCUUCGUCGAGCUGGGCGGCAGCGGGCACUUUGGCGACCACCAGGGGCCGUGUCGGCGGGACAGCUCGGAUAUCGACGUGGUGGACCUGACGGUGGGCGAGCGCACGGCCUCGGUGGAGCUGGAAGCCCGCUUCCUUCGGAAGGGCGACACCGUCAAGUAUUACACGCUGUGUGCCCGGCUCGGAGGCCCCGACGCCCGCGACUGGGUGCACUACCGGCGCCCGGACUUCCACUUGGUGGUGGUGGAGAAGGAGAAGACGAUCAGCUUCAAGUUCAAGAUCCUGAUCACCUUGCUGUUCGUCUGCCUCUCCACCCUCUUCAGCAUCCUCAACCUCAGCCUGAUGGCUCUGGACCCGGUGGAGCUGCAGAUCAUCAAGAACAGCGGCACCGAGGAGGAGAAGAAAUACUCGGAGCACAUCGAGUCAGUGCGCAAGCACGGAAAUUACCUGCUGUGCACGCUGAUGCUGGGGGACGUGCUGAUAAACUGCUCCCUGACAGUGUGGCUGUGUGAGAUCAUCCACACUACAUGGCUGACUAUUUUGGUUUGCACCGGCGUCAUAUUUUUCUUCGGCGAGAUUAUCCCUCACGCCGUCUGCUCCAGACAUGGCCUUGCCUUGGCCUCCAACACCAUCUGGGUGACUAAAUUCUUCAUGAUCAUCACUUUCCCGGCCUCGUACCCCAUCAGCAAACUGCUGGAUCUAAUCCUGCACCAGCAGAUCAGUAACUUCUACACCCGGGAAAAGCUGAUAGAAAUGCUCAGGGUGACCGAUGCUUUCAACGACCUGCUAAAAGAGGAGCUCAACAUGAUCGAGGGAGCCCUUGAGCUCAGGAAGAAAACGGUUGAGGACGUGAUGACGCCGCUGAGCGACUGCUUCAUGCUGAGCUCCGAUGCUGUCUUAGAUUUCGCCACAAUGUCCGAAAUAAUGCAGAGUGGCUACACCAGGAUUCCCGUCUAUGAGAACGAGCGCUCGAACAUCGUUCAUAUACUUUUCGUGAAGGAUCUGGCGUUUGUGGAUCCGGAUGACGCGAUGCCUUUAGAGAUAAUGACCAAGUUUUAUAACCAUCCCCUUCAUUGCGUGUUCAAUGACGCAAAACUGGACGAGAUCCUGGAAGAUUUUAAGAAAGGUAAAUCUCAUCUGGCAAUUGUACAGAAAGUCAACAAUGAGGGAGAUGGUGAUCCUUUCUAUGAAGUGCUGGGUAUCAUCACGCUGGAAGAUGUAAUUGAAGAACUAAUAAAAUCGGAGAUCCUGGAUGAAACAGACUUGUACACUGACAACAGGACAAAGAAAAUAGCGUACAGAGAGCAAAAGCGGCAUGACUUCUCCCUGUUCAAAGACUCCGAGGUGGAUCCAAGGACUAAGAUUUCCCCUCAGCUUUUAUUUGCAACUCACCGAUUUUUAGCAACAGAGGUGGAACCUUUCAAAAGUUCACAUGUAUCAGAAAAGGUUCUGCUAAAACUCCUCAAACAUCCUAAUGUCAUCCGCGAAUUAAAGUAUGACAAGAAAAACAAAUCAUCUGACCAGUAUCUCUAUCAGCGGAAUAAACCUGUUGACUACUUUAUACUUAUCCUGCAGGGAAAGGUGGAAGUUGAAAUAAGCAAAGAAGCCUUAAAAUUUGAAAAUGGAGCUUUCACAUAUUAUGGAGUCCCUACACUUACAACAGCAUUUCCCCCAGUCGUCAAAUCACCAGAUCACAAUGACUACAGAUUACAAAGGUCAGAAUCACUAAAUCCAGCAGAACGGAUUGAGUUCGGGGGCAGCACCUACCACCUAAAUCAGACUAUCCAUAAUUAUCUUCCAGACUACUCAGUACGACAAUUAACAGACCUCCAAUUUGUGAAGAUCACAAGGAUGCAGUAUGUAAAUGCAGUAGCAGCAACCCAAAUGGACAGCUCACCCCAGAGCCUUGAUGGCGAACUAGGGACAACGGACUUGCUAAGUAAAGAGCCUAGCCCCGAAACCGUAGCAACAACAACAAAUUCAACACAUGAGAUCAACCUUGUGAUUCGUAAGUCACUGAAUCAUAACACUGAUGAAAAUUAAGUAUAGUUUACUUGGAUCCUCUGAGCCGUUGAAAGUGUAUCUAGCUUGGAUGUCAGCACGAAGCAUAAUGGCUUUUGUCUUCUAUUUAUGGAUGAGAAAUGGAGAGUUACGACCAGCUAACCACUCAACGUUACUGAAAACAUAUUAUUUUUAUACCAUAUUUUAUGGCUGCAGUUUUUGAUACCUUUUAAACUUAAUAUACAUGACCAUCAAGCUUGGUUGUGUUUUUACUUGCUUACUGUACACUCUGCCUUGAACCCUACACUGACUCCUCUUGCACAAUGUCUGCGGCUUCACGUGAACUGCUGUGAACAGUACUUGACAAUGAAGAAUGCUGAUUGCAAAUGCCCUUGGAAUGCUGCAUUGCAAUGCAAUACACUACACGGGUUGUGUAUUUUUUUCCUUUAUGUCGGUAUUUUUUUGCUGUUUCUAACAAAAAUGCAUGUAUUUUGAAUGUUUCUGCAUAUUGUACUCAUAGCCAUUACUAACAUGACAAUGAAAUGUUUCUGAAAGUUUUUUUUUGUUUUACGCAAAGGCAUGCGAGCUGACAUAAUUUGCUUAAGAAUUGCCUCCCUCCAGUGCAGCAUAAAACACUUUGGAUUGUUCAUUACAAGCACUACUGGACAGAUAGUACGUCCCUUUUAAUAUGAUCUCUGUUUUGGAUCAUACCUAAAGGAAAGUACUACCUUUAAUAAAUUGUUUCUUAUCUGUUCAUUAAAGUUUAUUGUCUGUGCUAUUAGUUGAUACUAUUACUGGUGCUCAGCUGUUUGUUUGUUUUACAGGAUUAAUGUCAUAUAAUUUAUGUUUCUCCGAUGAGCAUCUGUUUGCAUCAGUUGUGCCAUUUGUUGAGAAUUGCCACUGUAUAUUUUUCUAUUGUUUGAAUCUGUUAUGCUCUGUGCACUUUCAUUGAGUUUAUUAUAGAUUAUAUCACACAUUGAAGUGAUGUCCCAGGCUAAUAUGAAAGGUGGUAUUCCAUUUUCUCUGAGCAUAAUUCAAAUCUUACUAGAUAGCUGUGAGUUAGAGUUUCUAUGGCUCUAUUUGCAUGCUGUCAAUAUCUUAUAUUCAAAGUUUAUUUUUAAUUGAAUCCUCAAUAUUAGAUAAAUGAAUUUCAUCAUAAUAUUUUGUUUCAUUUUUUGUAUACACAGCAGAGUUUUUUGACUGAUACCUUUUAUUUUAAGCUUAUAGGUUUUCUCAAUAUCUGGUUUUCAACACCUUGUAAGUGCAAACACAUACAAAAUUCCUUUCCAUAGAUGUUGCCUGACCUGAGUUCCUCCAGCAUUUUGUAUGUGUUACUCUGGAUCUCCAGCAUCUGCAAAUGUCCUUGUGUUUAUCUACAUGCAAACAAUUAGUUUGGACUGAUGAAUCAUUUGAUCUUAUCAACUGGCUUUCAGAUUUAAAUGUAUUGAUUUUCCUAACAUCAAAUUGUGUGUCUUUCCUAUUGUGUCACAGUCCGAUGAAUUAGCCAUUAUAAAGAAAGUGGAUUAUCUCAGCUGAAAAUGUAACAUAAACACGUCAUAUUUUUAAAAUGGCAAUGUGGCAAUUUUCUUAAGGAAACUUUGGUAUGUGUGUCAGUGGCAAUUAUAUGGAUUUAACAAAAAGCAUCUCCUUGACUUAAUUAACCUGUUUUAACCUAAACAAUAAUAUUCCUGCUAUUUUAGUUGUUAAACAUUUCAAUCCAAUUUUGUUUUUUUUUGUGAUUUCCUAUUUGACAUUGAUAGUUCUUACCAUGCCUUAUUUGAGUUUUAUGUUUUGACACGGUUUUAUGCUUCUGCUUAGUAAAAAUACUUUUUUUUUUGGCUGCACACAGUAAAUUCACUGUUCCUGGCCAGAAGGGAGAUGGUUAGGUAAUACCUCUGUCAGUUACACCUGGAAAACAAGUGCUGUCAAUGACUGUUUGCUGCAGGCAUAAAGGUGCUUUUCAAGUAGAUUAUGUAUAUAGGUUUUGUUUGCUGUAAAAUACACUGUUUGUCUGUAAAUCUUGGCUUGUUGCUCAUUUCCAACUCUUGAUUGAUGCAAUAGUGUCAAUGGCCUCUCUGAACAUUUAUUUGCCUUUCUUACAACAACUUCUCCAUUUCCUUAGGUGAGUGGGCUAUGUAACUGGCAUCUUCCCUAGUCACUACAAUACACAGAUUAUUCACUCACUGGUGCAUCAAAGAGUCCUUGAAUCCUUGAUACUGUAAUCCUGCCUAUAAGGUUUACAUGCUUACUUAGUGCUGACACAGUUAAGAAUGUAUACGUUAUUGAAGAAAAUGAGGUCAUUGACCCAUCCCACUACUUUAGAACCACUAUUUCAAGUGACCUAAAUUACUUCUCUUUAGUGUAGGAUUGUAAGACUGUUAGUUGCUACAGGCAUAUGAUAUGAAGCAAAAUGCUCCUUGCCUCUAUCAAUUUCAGCUUAAAAAAAUAAAUAACCUUUUCUUUAAAUUUGCAUUUCUGAUAUUAGGGAUUGACAUCAAACAUAAGCCAUCUUUCUCCCCAUGGAUGAUGUCUGACAUGCUGAGCGUUGUCCAAUGUUUUCUUGUUUUUCCAGCCUUUAGAGAAUUGGUUCCUUGAGUUAAUUUUCUAAACUAACAGAAAGAGAUAUUUCAGGAGUAUGUAGUUCAGAAUAAAAUUAAACUUGCAGGAAAUAAUUUACUUUGAGAUUUUUCCACCCGAUUUGGAACAUUGUAGAAAGGAUGGACAAUAACAGCACAGUUAUUUGGUGCCAUUGGAUAGAAGAAUUGUUGAUCUCACCAAUGGUACCAGAAGAAUGAGGAAUGGAGAGAGAUGAUAUUAUCAACUUAGAAUGGAGUUGUUGAAGGGGAUUUACUGGAGAUCAAGUUCUGAAACUCUAUGAGUAAUCUGAACAUGAUUAUCGGAUGUCUGAGAGUGUUCUCCCAAGCAUCUGCCUGUCAGCCAAGAAUAGUCCACAGUACACAAAACCCUAAAGUGAAAUGAAAUGUUUUCAAGAUGAGUGGGUUUAAUAGAAUAGACAAUAACGUACCUACUGUUAGUAGGUGUAAACUACCUGUCAAAUUUCCUGGAAAUUAUACCCUGUGUAGCUGUUUCAGAAAGCAAAUAAUUUCCACUGAUGUGCCAUUAUCCUCACAAAAAAUAGCACCUCAAUGUCAGCUCUUUAAACGUUGGAAGUUUACUUCAGUUGUGUAUUCACUACCAGCUAAACGUCGGAUAUUUCAGAAUGAUAUUUAAAAAGAUAUUAAUUUAAGAUUUAAGUUAAAUAAUGCCCCUGAAACAUUCUAGCCUAGGAGGUAAGCAAUUGAAUCUGGAGUCUUAUUGCUACACGUGUAUUGUAUUUAAAUUUAAUUAGGGGUCUCUUAAUUGUGUAUUCAGAUCCUGAGAAAUUCUGAGGAAGUAUGUAAGGAAAAGCUAUUUUUUGUUUAGUAGGCUGGUGUACUUAGUGAAAGUCAUUGGCAACAGUGCCACGGGAAAGAUGAAGAGAACUUUGUAGACAGUUAACUGAAAUGCUGUACCUGAAAAGUGGGAGGAGUAAAUUCAGUUAUCAUUUCCAAAGGGGGAAUUGUUUAAAUGUACUUGAAAAAAUGGGUUGCAAGGUUAAAAAAGGUAUGUGAGAGUAGACAAAUUGGUUCGCUGUUUGAAAGAGCCAUCAUAGACAUGAAUGAUCAAAGGCCUCCUACUGUGCUGUCAGAUUUUGAACUUCACCAAAGCUAAUAACAUCGGAGAUAGUGCAGGUUUUUACCUAAGGGCUUCAAUUUUGAAAUGAAGACGAGAUAUGGGAAGCAAGAGGAUACCAGAGAUUUAGGGCAUUGAAAGAAAUGGAAGAAAAUUAAGCAGAAACAAAAGAAUUAUUUGUGGAAGAAUGUUUGCAAGAGGAGUUCAUGGGAAAGAAAAUCAGUAAAUGUAUAUGAAGGCAUGAAGUCAGUGACUCUACCAAAAUCUAAAUAAGAGAAUCAGAACACAAAGAAAAGCAACUCAUUUAUUUAGGACACUUAAUAUUGCAGUAUAUGAAAUGUUAUGUUAGAGUGUCAAGAGAGGUGUUGUGAGUCUACUUGAAGACUAAUUCUCUGGUUUCAGCUCUUGUUGAGAGGCACGUGGAGAGGUAAAGGGCUGAAGAAGGAAUCUGAUAGGAGAGGCGAGUGGACUAUGGGAGAAAGGAAAGGAGGAGGGGAAUCAGAGGGAGGUGAUGAGCAGGUAAGAGAAGGAGUAAGAGGGAAACCAGAAUGAGGAAUGGAAAGAGAAAGAGAGAGGGGAGAAAUUACAGAAAUUGAUGUUCAUGCCAUCGGGCUGGAGGCCACCCAGAUGCAAUAUGUUGGGAAAUGAGAAGAUCAGAGUAGAUUUUUGGUGAAUUACAGAUUCUUUCCUGUCCUUGUUCUCUACUUUGUUUGGCACAAUCUUUCUCAUGCAAGUCUCUGUGUAUUGCUAGUUAAAACUACUACUAGUUUGUCACAUUCUGACAUGUUGGUCCAUGGUCUCCUUUACUGCCACGAUAAAGCCACAAUCAGGCUGUAGGAGCAAAACCUUCAGCCUGAUGGUGUGAGCAUCAAUUUCUGUAAUUUCUCCUUUCUCUUUUCAUUCCCCAUUCUGGUUCCCUUCUUGGCCUUCUCUUCUUACCCGCCCAUCAAUUCCCUCUGGUUCCCCUCCUCCUUCCCUUUCUCCCAUGGUCCACUCUCCUGUCAGAUUCCUCCUUUUGCAGCCCUUUAUCUAUCCACCUAUCACCUCCCAGCUACUCACCUCAUCACCCUUCCCCAUCCACCCGCCUUCCUCUUCACCUGCACUCACCUAUCAGCUGCCAACUUCUACUCCUACCAACCCCCUCCCACCCCCAACUAUCUUAUUCUGGCUUUUUCCCCUCUUCUUUCCAUUUCUGAUGAUGAUCUUGGCCUGAAGUGUUGACUGUUUAUUCCUCUCCAUGGUUGCUGCCUGUCCUGCUGAGUUCCUCCAGCAUUUUGUGUGUGUUGAUAGGUUGCAAGGUUGUAUUUUGACUUUCACAGGAGCUAUUCUUUGGAAACAUUAUUGAUGAGCUUCUACCAACCUGAAUGUUAAAUUUUGGGAACAGGACCAUUUCAAAAUUACAGCCAUUCAUAAAUUCAUGUAUCACAUGAAUGGAUAGCGAGAAGUCAAUGAUAACUGAUAAUAAACACAAGAUUCUGCAGAUGCUGGAAAUCCAGAGUAACAGACACAAAAUACUGGAGGUACUCAGCAGAUCAGGCAGCAUCUGUGGAGGGGAAUAAAGAGUCAACAUUUCAGGCCGGGACCUUUCAUUAGGACUGAUAAUAUCGCUAAUAAUAUGAAUUGAUAGCAUUCAAAUGGUGUCAGCCUUAAAUGAGUUCAUCUUUAACUGCAUAACUAAGACAACAUUGUCCAAAUGCUCUUGUGAGGUGAAUAAUUGUAAAGUGGUGGGGUGGGGGGGUUUAGUAUUUCAGUACAAACAUCAAAUGGGGCAUAUCGACUUGAUGCCACUUAAUCAGGCAUUUGAAGUGCUGCCCCUUUCCUAAUAACAAGACUGAAUAUCUUAAAAGUAGUUUGCUUUCUAGAAUUGUUUUGUUUUUUAGUUGCUUUAGUUGAAGGAGUUGUAGAGAGGAUGCUGGUGGCUGAACCCAAGCCCGUUUUUUGGAUGAGUAUAGUUUCUCCACUGACAUUGUUUUCAUUUGGCUUAAAUUGAUGUUAUAGCAUCAACUUUUAUAAAUGGGGACACUUAAGAAGAAAGCAGAGGUUGCCAAGAAGUUAUUUUUCCAAAAUACUUACUUAGUUUCUGUGCUAGAAACCAACAGAAGGAGCACUUGCCUUUAAAAGGUGAAGAGCCAUCAAUUCAGUCUACGCACAUUAACCUGAAAUUGUUUUCAGCUGGAUUGCAGUACAAGUCAAAGUGGAAUUGCACUCAGAGUUCCAGAUGCUGUUUUAUUCAAAUUGCACAAUUUGAGGUACUGUGCCCUGUUGGUCAAUACUCCAGUGUGUGCAGGUGGUUAGUGAACAGUUAGAGUGGAAAGGGAGGUAAAGAUGGGCAAUGUUGUGACAGUCAUGCAGGUAGACUGGGGAAAGACAGGUUGGUACUGGAUCCCAAGAAAAUGGAACUUGUAGAAUGUCUACAUGAUGAUGCUAGGAAAAAGAUAAUCCUGGAUUUUCUCUUGCACAGUGAAUCAAAUCUACAUCUACAGAAAACUUGUUUUAUGAGGUUACCAUGAUUGACAAGGAAAGUCAAAGACAGCACAAAGUGCAUAUAAUGUAGAAAAAGUUGUGGGAAGCUUUUUAAAACAAACAACUGAAGGUAACUAAAAAAAGCAAUAAGAAAAGAUAAAAUAUAAGAUGAAAGAUAAAAGGAAAGCUGGGCAAGGCAAUAAUAUAAAAGAGAAUAACAAAAGUUUUUACAGCUAUAUAAACGGCUAAAUAGAGGCAAGAUUGGGCACUGGACUGCUGGAGAAAUAGCAAAAGGGACAAAAGAAAUGGCAGGUGAACUGCUUUAUUCUUCACUGUUGAAGACACCAGCAAUAUGCCAGAAAUUUAAGAGAGAAGCGUUUGAUCACUCUAGGCUGGUUCUCACUGGUGUUUAGAAGAAUGAGCAGGGAUUGCUUUGAAACUACUGAAUAUUGAAAUGCCUAGACAGAGUGUACUUGGAGAAGAUGUUUUCAAUAGUGGGAGAGUUGUAGACCAGAGGGCACAGCCUCAGAAUAGAAGGAUGCCCCUUUGGAACAGAUGAAAAAGAACAUCUUCAGCCAGAGGAUUGUGAAACAUGCCCAUCGUCUUGGCCUCUGCAGAUUUAUUGCUAGAGAAGGCUUUGGAGGCCAAGGCACUGGGUAUAUUCAAAGCAGAUGCUGAUAGGUUCUUGAAUAGUAAGGGUGCUGAACGUCAAAGGGAGAAGGCAGGAGAAUGGAGUUGAGAGGGAUAAUAACUCAACCAUAAUCAAAUAGCAAAGCAGAUGAUAAGCCAACUGUCCUAAUUCUGCUCCUGUCUUAUGGUCUUAUGGCCUAACAUCUCAAACUAGAUUUUGUAUUUGACUAUAAACCAUUUCUCUUCCUUGUGUAUUUAUUUAAUUUGAUAUUGCAUCAUGUUUCUAGCAGAGCAAUGCUGGAAUGAAUUUUCUUUCAAAUAUUAUGAUGAAUAUGGCACAAAAUGUUUAUUCAACAUUAAUUUGUUUUCUGCCACACUGCGGUGCAUUCUGGAUUCUAAUGACCUAAUUUUUUUUUAAAUCAGUGCUUCCUCCUUAUAUCUCCCAAAAUGUUUAAGCUGUGCCUCUGGAUCCUUCCAGAUUUUAUUGAUGAGAAUACCUAUAGUAUUUGUAUCUGAGCGAUACAUCCAUACAGCAUGGAAGCAAGCCCUUCGGCCCAGCUUGUUCAUGCUGACUGUGAUGCCUGGUGAGUUAAUCCUAUCUGCAAUUGGCCAAUAGCCCUCUAAACCUCUCCUCUCCAUGUACUUAUGGCCAUGAAGCAUUGCUAAUGUGUCCACCUUAACCACUGGGCACUACGGUAGCUUAGUGUGGAGCUGUUGCAGCUUGGGACGUCGGAAUUCUCUGUAAGGAGUCUGUAUGUCCUCCCCAUGGAAUUCAUGGGUUUCCCCUGCAUGUUCCAGUUUCCUCCCAUGGUCCAAAGAUGUACCAGUUAGUAAAAUUGUCCUGUUAUUACACUAGGGUUAAUCGGGAGUUGUUAUGGUUGUGGCUUGAAGGGCUGGAAGGUCCUAUUCUGCAGUGUAUCUCUAAAUGAAAAAAAACUUUGUAGCAGCUCAUCCCUGUUAAAUUUCCUUUCAGACGUUCCUGUUUUAAGUCAAUCAAUACAUGAUUCUUUAUUCUGUCAUUGUAGCUGAAAUCCUUAGCGAAACUUCUGUAGGAUAUUGGCAUCCUCCUUGAAAACAUCUGCACCAUAUUCCAGGUGUUAUCUGUUUGCAAUCACACGAUACAUCUGAAACAAAGCUAGGACAAACCCUAUCUAUUUCUUAUACAGUGCUUUCCAAGCCCGAUAAUUGUUCUAAAUAGUGAAUUCAGUUGAAUCUGUUUAAAUGAAAACAUAUUGAACAGUGAACACUGCUGAAUUAUUCAUAUUGUAACAAUUAAUAGCAUUUUCUGGAGUAAAAUCUUCUGUUUACAUUUAAAUAUUACCUUUUUACCAUAAAUCGUAGGAGCAGCAUUAGGCCAUUCAGCCCAUCCAGUCUGCUCCCAUUUGCUCUUCCCCAGAGGAAAGUUCAGACUGAAGUUGAAAGUUAAAAGUAAAUUUAUUAUCAAAGUACAGAUAUAUCACCAUAUACUACCCUGAGAUUCAUUUUCUUGUGGGCAUACUCAAUAAAUCCAAUAAUCAUAAUAGAAUCAAUGAAAGACUGCUCCAGCUUGUCAGACAAUCAGUGUGUAAAAGGCAAACUGUGCAAAUACAAAAAGAAAGAAAUAAUUAUAAUAAUAAAUAAAUAAGCAAUAUAUUUCAAGAACAUGAGAUGAAGAGUCCUUGAAAGUGAGUCCAUAGCUUAUGGGAACAUUUCAGUGAUGGGGCAAGUGAAAGAAGAUGAACUAUGCAAAUACAAAAUAAAUAAAUAUAUAAAUAUAUUGAGUACCUGGGUUGUAGAGUUUUGACAGUGAGUCCGUAAGUUGUGGAAUCAUUUCAGAGUUGAGGUGAGUGAAGUUGUCUGUGUUGGUUCACGAGCCUGAUGGUUGUAGGGUAAUAACUGUUCCUCAACUUGGUGGUGUAGAAGGAGGCCCCUGCACCUCCUUCCCCAUGGCAGUAGUGAGAAGAGAGUAUGGCGUGAAUGGUGGGUGUCUUUGUUGGGGGGGCUAUUCAAAUUUGUUUUGUAGUUAUCAAAAAUAGGAUUAGAGCAUUUCUCAUUUACAUUAAUAACCUGAAAUAUAUAAUUAAACACCAAUUGGUUCAAGUUGGAUCACCCCUUUUCAGCUGUUAUUAUCUUACAAUUUGUCUGCAACGUGCAUAGGAAAGUGCGUAUCACAGAAACAAAACUCGACAUCUGAUAAAAAGUUUUUUUAAACUGCUAACAUAAUGACCAAUAUGACAAGGUGAAUCAUAGCUUGCCAUGCGAAAUUUAUUCAAAUUUUGGAGGUGGGCUUAUCUGAAAGCUAUUGGUAGCCCUCAAAAAAAUUAAUGUUCUAUUGAACUAGGCUGAAAGCUUUCCUAACGGAUGAUAAGAUAUUCUACUAAUGUACAAUGGAUGCUAAAAGUGAUUAUUUUAAAGGAUCCAUGAAAAAUAUUCCAUUGGUCUUAAUAAGUUACAAAUUUUAAAUAAUUUUUAGUCACAAGUGAGUUUGAACCAGUGUGGCUAUUCUCUUGAAAACAUGAGUGGUAAAGUCCUUGAAAGUAAGUCCAUAGGUUCUGGAAUCAAUUCAGAAUUGAGGUGAAUGAAGUUACUUCUCUUAUUAACAAGAUUUUUGGACCAUUUAGUUAAAUGCAAAGUAAAAUUUUAUUUUAUUUAUAUUUAUUUAGAGAUACAGCACCGAUACUGGUCCAACAAGCUCGCGCCAACCAGUUACACCCUUGUUGUCUACUAACCCAUACAUCUUUGGAAUGUGGAGCACCUGGAGGAAAUGCAUGCGGUCACGGAGAGAAUUUACAAACUCCUUGCUGCCAGCAGUGGAAUUGAACCAGAAUAGCUGGCGUUGUAAUAAUAUACAAACUGCUACAUUGCCCUGCCGCCCCUAAAAAACACAAAGAAAAAUGUUAUGAGCGAUUAUUAUACCCCCUACAUUCUUUCAAUAGAAAAUCAAUCAUUUUAGCUUUUCAUAAUUUCAUUUUAAGUCACAUGUACACUGUCUUUCACCUGCAGACUCUUCUUCAUUCGGCCAUGUUUAUGUCUUAAUUAACAAGAAGGUGUUGACAGAGUUAGGGGUACAACCUAACAACCUUUCUCACUCAACAGCAACAGGAGAACUGCUCAAAACGCUUUAAGUUAUUCAAGUAUCUGCUCAACAUACUGCUGUUCUAUCUUGGUGUUCUAUGUCACAAUAUUUUGGUGACAAAUGAUAAGAAUUAGUUGUUUAACAUGUGAAUUUCAACAAAUAUUAAAGCUUACACAGUGUAUCUAUAUAGAAUAAGGACUCAGUCAUGAAUUUUCAUUUUCCUUUUCAGCUGUCUCUCUUCCUCCCCUGAAAAUAGGAUUGAGAAGUUAUGUCAAGCAGUGGUGGCAAUAUGGAACAUACAAGUUUCCCAAAGAAUGCUUGAAUGUACACUCGGUGGCCACUUUAAUAGGUACAGGAGUGGAAACCAGUGUGGUUUUCUGCUGCUGUAGCCAAUCCACUUCCAAGUUUUGAUGUGCUGUGGUUUCAGAGAUGCUCCUCUGCUACCAUUGUUAUAACGUGUGGUUAUUUGAGUUGCUAUUGCCUUCCUGUCAGCCUGAACUGAUCUGGCCAUUCUCCUCCGACCUUUCUUAUUAACAAGGUGUUUUUGCCCACAGAUCUGCCACUCACUGGAUUUUUUGUUUUUGUUUUUGUUUUUCACACCAUUUUCCGUAAACUCUAGAGACUGUUAUGUGUGUGAAAAUCCCAGGAGAUCAGCAGUUUCUAAGAUACUCAAAGCACCCCAUCUGGCACCAACGAUCAUUCCACAGUCAAAGUAACUUAGAUCACACUUCUUUUCUGUUUCGUUGUUUGGUUUGAACAACAACUGAACCUCUUGACCAUAUUUGCACACUUCUAUGCAUUAAGUUGCUGCCACAUAAUCGGCUAGGUAGAUAGUUGCAUUAACAAGCAGCUGUAUAGGUGUACCUAAUGAAGUGGCCACUGAGUGUGUUUGACAAUGUUUAGGUGAGAUAGGUUUUAAGAACAGAACUUAUAGCCAAAAGUUAUAAAAUUUUGAUUUUUCUGUAUGUGAUUUGUGAUUUCCUUUCACAGCUUUGUGACAUCCUCCCUUUCACAGAAGCUAUGUACAGGUGGCAAAUCAGAUGGAAUGAUAAGCCCAACUGGUCCAUUUUUCUUGGGAGCAGAACCAGUGAAUCGUUCUGGUACAACUGGAUUGAAGACCGAACAAUCUGGUGAAAACAUCGGCAAAGUCGUUGAUCC